rnacentral:rRNA from 1 species
CCAACAGGGAUUGCCUCAGUAACGGCGAGUGAAGCGGCAACAGCUCAAAUUUGAAAUCUGGCCCCAGGCCCGAGUUGUAAUUUGCAGAGGAUGCUUCUGGCGCGGUGCCUUCCAAGUCCCCUGGAACGGGGCGCCAUAGAGGGUGAGAGCCCCGUCUGGUUGGCCGCCAAGCCUGUGUGAAGCUCCUUCGACGAGUCGAGUAGUUUGGGAAUGCUGCUCUAAAUGGGAGGUAGACCCCUUCUAAAGCUAAAUACCGGCCAGAGACCGAUAGCGCACAAGUAGAGUGAUCGAAAGAUGAAAAGCACUUUGAAAAGAGGGUUAAACAGUACGUGAAAUUGUUGAAAGGGAAGCGCUUGUGACCAGACGUGCGUCGGGGUGUUCAGCGGGCGUUCUCGCCCGUGCACUCGCCCCGGUGCAGGCCAGCGUCGGUUCGGGCGGGGGGACAAAGGCGUCGGGAACGUAGCUCCUCCGGGAGUGUUAUAGCCCAGCGUGUCAUGCCCCCGCCUGGACCGAGGUUCGCGCUCCGCAAGGACGCUGGCGUAAUGGUCCCCAGCGGCCCGUCUUGAAACACGGACCAAGGAGUCGAGGUUUUGCGCGAGUGUUUGGGUGUCAAACCCGCACGCGUAAUGAAAGUGAACGCAGGUGGGAGCUUCGGCGCACCACCGACCGAUCCUGAUGUUCUCGGAUGGAUUUGAGUAAGAGCGUAGGGCCUCGGACCCGAAAGAUGGUGAACUAUACGUGAAUAGGGUGAAGCCAGAGGAAACUCUGGUGGAGGCUCGCAGCGGUUCUGACGUGCAAAUCGAUCGUCAAAUUUGCGUAUGGGGGCGAAAGACUAAUCGAACCAU